AACGAACGCUGGCGGCAGGCUUAACACAUGCAAGUCGAGCGCCCCGCAAGGGGAGCGGCAGACGGGUGAGUAACGCGUGGGAAUCUACCCAUCUCUACGGAAUAACGCAUGGAAACGUGUGCUAAUACUGUAUACGUCCUUCGGGAGAAAGAUUUAUCGGAGAUGGAUGAGCCCGCGUGGGAUUAGCUAGUUGGUGGGGUAAAGGCCUACCGAGGCGACGAUCCAUAGCUGGUCUGAGAGGAUGAUCAGCCACACUGGGACUGAGACACGGCCCAGACUCCUACGGGAGGCAGCAGUGGGGAAUAUUGGACAAUGGGCGCAAGCCUGAUCCAGCCAUGCCGCGUGAGUGAUGAAGGCCCUAGGGUUGUAAAGCUCUUUCACCGGUGAAGAUAAUGACGGUAACCGGAGAAGAAGCCCCGGCUAACUUCGUGCCAGCCGCCGCCGUAACAC
rnacentral:rRNA from 1 species